rnacentral:sRNA from 1 species
AGAGUAGGAACCACCUAUUUGAGAGAUAAACACAGAUGAUUCUUCUUUUACUGAGAGAGAGAGUGGUGCUACAAUCCCCUCAUUCAUGAAUAUAAUCCCCACAAAAGAAACACCCCCCACUCGGAUCCGCACCAACAAAUUCACCGAGGGUUUUCAGAACAUCGUGGAUGCUUAUGGAGUCGGAAGCUACAGAGAAGUCAAUCCAGCUCUCUUUACCAUCAUCACCUUCCCGUUUUUAUUUGCUGUGAUGUUUGGAGACUUCGGACAUGGCUUUGUGAUGUUUUUAUUUGCCCUCUUGUUGGUGUUAAAUGAAAAUCAUCCCAGACUAAAUCAGUCACAAGAGAUCAUGAGGAUGUUUUUUAAUGGCCGGUACAUCCUCCUGCUGAUGGGGCUGUUCUCAGUGUACACUGGCCUCAUCUACAACGACUGCUUUUCAAAGUCAGUCAACCUGUUCGGCUCCGGGUGGAACGUGUCGGCCAUGUACAGCUCCAGCCACCCACCCGCAGAGCAUAAGAAGAUGGUGCUUUGGAACGACAGCGUCGUCAGGCACAACAGCAUUUUGCAGCUGGAUCCAAGCAUUCCUGGAGUGUUCCGAGGCCCUUAUCCCCUUGGCAUUGAUCCUAUUUGGAACUUGGCCACAAAUCGCCUCACUUUUCUAAACUCUUUCAAAAUGAAAAUGUCCGUGAUUUUAGGAAUCAUUCACAUGACUUUUGGAGUCAUUCUGGGAAUAUUUAACCACUUG